UGCAACAUGUAAGGAUAGACGGAUCGGAUAUUCAAAAAGUGUCAAUUUCUUGAAGAACGCCACGGAAACGGGAGGAAGAAGAGGGUAUUUUGAUACGGUACACAGCACAUGUAGGUAAUUAGCCUCGUAGAUGAAAAAGA
ensembl:ncRNA F25H8.23 ncRNA